AACGAACGCUGGCGGCAUGCCUAACACAUGCAAGUCGAACGAGAUCUUCGGGUCUAGUGGCGCACGGGUGCGUAACGCGUGGGAAUCUGCCCUUUGGUUCGGAAUAACAGUUGGAAACAACUGCUAAUACCGGAUGAUGACGAAAGUCCAAAGAUUUAUCGCCAGAGGAUGAGCCCGCGUAGGAUUAGCUAGUUGGUGUGGUAAAGGCGCACCAAGGCGACGAUCCUUAGCUGGUCUGAGAGGAUGAUCAGCCACACUGGGACUGAGACACGGCCCAGACUCCUCCGGGAGGCAGCAGUGGGGAAUAUUGGACAAUGGGCGAAAGCCUGAUCCAGCAAUGCCGCGUGAGUGAUGAAGGCCUUAGGGUUGUAAAGCUCUUUUACCCGGGAUGAUAAUGACAGUACCGGGAGAAUAAGCUCCGGCUAACUCCGUGCCAGCAGCCGCCGUAA
rnacentral:rRNA from 1 species